rnacentral:rRNA from 1 species
CCUACGGGCAGCAGCAGUGAGGAAUAUUGGUCAAUGGACGAGAGUCUGAACCAGCCAAGUAGCGUGAAGGAUGACUGCCCUAUGGGUUGUAAACUUCUUUUAUAUGGGAAUAAAAUGUUCCACGUGUGGGAUUUUGUAUGUACCAUAUGAAUAAGGAUCGGCUAACUCCGUGCCAGCAGCCGCGGUAAUACGGAGGAUCCGAGAGUUAUCCGGAUUUAUUGGGUUUAAAGGGAGAGUAGGUGGAUUGUUAAGUCAGUUGUGAAAGUUUGCGGAUCAACCGUAAAAUUGCAGUUGAAACUGGCAGUAUUGAGUACAGUAGAGGUGGGCGGAAUUCUCGGUGUAGCGGUGAAAUGCAUAGAUAUCACGCAGAACUCCGAUUGCGAAGGCAGCAUACCGGCGCCCGACUGACGCUGAGGCACGAAAGCGUGGGGAUCGAACAGGAUUAGAUACCCCGGUAGUC